UUCUCUCUUCUGGCUCCUCUGAAAUUUUCUAAAUAUGAAGAACUUAAUGAAAAUCCAACAUCUUCCAGAUGGCUUCCUCAAACACAAAAAUUAAUCCAUUUCCCUAGGUGAAAGGCUUUGGUCUCCAAGGCUCAGCUCAGACCUAUCUGAUACAAAGCUCUUGUGUGAGGUAAGCUUCCUCUCCAACACUUGUGCUCAUUUCCUGGAGAAGGCCUUUGUUUCCCUGCUCUGUGUUUGCUGUGUGGGCUACAACUCCUUAUCAGCCUUUUCCUCCCUCUGACCUCCUGUCUUUUCAGCUUCUCUGGUUUGCAUCUGUGCCUGGAGCUCCUUUGCCUUCCCAGAGCACAGACUUUCUAUUCUCCUGCUCUGGGAUUGCCCCACUGCUGCUUGGAUCAAGCUGUGCUCCCACGUGCAGACUGUCCGAAAUUGGGACUAGAGGUUACUUUAUGAAAGCCAGGUGACUUAUAGAAUUAGACAGUCAAAAAUACAGGCAGUUAUGACACAUUUGUGACUGUUACAACCUCACUGGGGGAAUGACUUGAGAAGGUUUUUAAGGCAGCAGGCAAAUAGCUGGUGCUUCAAAGACAAGUAUCAUCCUGAAGCUUAUUACAAAAAUUAUCAGCAUCUCCUACAAAUGGUAAGAUGCACAGAAUAGACCUCUGGAUUAGAUACCAACUCUUUUGUAAAUGUUUUACAGAAAAAAAUAAAAAUGGAUACAUAAUUUAAACAAAAAUUAGUAGUGUAUGUGGAGGUGAGAAGGACAAGGAGAAAAAUGGUAUGGGCAAAGUGAGAUUAGGCUCUUGAAAAAUCCCCAAAUACACGUGAAAGGUGACAGAGCAGAGCAAUGGGAGACUGAGGACUGCACAGGGCAGUGCUGUUGCACUGACAAAAAUAAGUAAGUAGAAGGAAUAAAAAUCUCUUUUUCUAAGAAAAGAAGUCACAAUGUAAAAAUGACAUAAUGGCUCUUGUUUUUUUUCUCCCUCCCUCCCUGCAAAUGCAGUGUAGGAGAAUGUGAUUACAUCACAUGCAUCACAUUUUCUGAUGGAAGUUACAAUGCUGUUACCAGAUACUGCCAUGACACUCAUCCCACUAUAACUUUCUUCAAGUACCUUGUAGAGCAAAACUCCAGAGUGUAGUAAAUUAGGCAUAUUUUGUGUCUCUUUCUUGUCUUUGAUAGGGGUGAAAUUCAACCCUGUGCAUAUUUUAUAUGUCUCGUAAUAACACCCACUCAUUCCUUGCAGAAGAGGCAUUCUAUUGUCCUCCUGUGACACUUCCUUGGGAUUGCAGCUGGAAGAUGUGUCACUGGGACUUCCCUCUGUUCCCUUGCUCUGAACUAGACACUCGUGGCAGGUGUUAUGCCUCACAGAAACAGAUACUCUAGGUCACAGCUUGCACAAGGGGAGACAAUUUAAGUGUCUGGCUUGGUUUGGCACCUAUCACUGCUGCUCGAGCACAGGGGUUAAUCAGCAGCUGUCAAACAGCCCUGUUCCAGCACUCCUUGGCUGGGUGGUAACUCAAAACUGUGGGAUGACAGCCAAAGCUGAGAGAAGAUUUCAGUUCUUGAUUUCAGCCUUUUUUUUCCCUUUUAUUUUUCCUUUUAGAGCAGGAGAGAGUUGUGGUUGUUACUGCAGGCCUGUGCCUCUACCUACCCCUUUAAGGAUGCCCUUCUGGCAAUCUGAAGACUGUCCUUCCUGGGAAAAAGAAACAGAAGGAAAGUGGGACUGUGAUAACCCAUUAAUAAAUCCAGUCUGAUGAGAAGCAGCUGAGGGAGCUUGGGGUGUUGAGCCUGGAAAGAGGGAGGCUCAGGGGGGACCUUCUCACUCUCUACAUCUCCCUGACAGAAGGUUGUAGUCAGGUGGGGAGUACUUUGUCCUCUCAAGUAGAAAGUGACAGGACUAAAGGAAAUAGCCUCAGGUUGCACUGGGGAGGUUUAGACUGGAUAUUAUGAAAAAAAUCUUCCUAGAAAGAUUGUCAAGCAUUGGAACGGGCUGCCCAGGGGAGGGGUUGUGUCACCAUCCCUGGGGAUAUUUAAAAGAUGAGUGAGUGUGGCCCUUGCAGACAUGGCUUAGUGGUUGUGUGAACUUGGCAGUGCUGGGUGAAGCGUUGGACUCGCUGAUCGCAGAGGUCUUUUCCAACCUAAAUAAUUCCAUCCUUCCAUGCUAACUUCAGACUGCAGACUGCCCAGCUCGUUGAGAUCUUUACCAUGACUGCUGUCACCAGGACUCAGAUUUGGCACUGUUAAACUUGCUCUGGCACCUGUGUACUGUGUUGGAGUUACUCCUGCAUGUUUGGACAUCAAAGGCUAAAUGGGAACAGUGAAAGCCAUGCUGUACAUUGUAGCAGCCUAUGAGGGUACACAGAUGCCUGUGCCCUUUGUUUUCCAUGGACUGGUAAGAACUUGACCCGUGUGCCCAGUACUUGUAAAAGAUGAAUAAAGAGCUGUAUACAUACAGCACACACAAACACACACAAACAUACAUUCUAUAUAUGUGUAUGUUAAUACAUGAACUUAAGGAACAAUGUAAACCAAGGCCUUUUUCCUCCUACUAAAGCAAAUCAUUGAAUAAUAAUCCAUUACAUAAAAGGAACAUGCUUCAUCUUGAGAACCAUUAAUGUCACUUUUCUCCAAACUCCUCUAUGAAUGGUGUUCCAGAAUAUCAUGGCAGUGCUCUGCCAUAAUGUCUCUUUCUAAUUUCCAGUUAAAGCACAUCCACCACCAUUUUGUGCCUAUUGAUGCUGAGCAGUGCUGCUUGUAAGCUUUAGUCAUGAGCUAAAUAUAACUGUGGAUUGUCUGUACUGCAUUGCUGAUUUUAUUUGAAAGGAAGACAGAUUUAGCAGAACCUAAAGUCAAAACUAACACAGAGAUGCUGCAAAAGGAAUUUGUAUGAUGGCAUUUGCUUUAUCCAACUUCAGUCAUCAAGUCUAAGGUGGUUGUGUGUUUUCCCUUCACAACUAUCAGAAAGCUGCUGGCACAUCUCCAGGGUUUUUAUCACUCAGGCACUUAUUUGAGGAUCUGAUGAACUGUUUCCCAUCAGUGCCUGCUUCUUCCUUUCCACAGAUUGUCAGGUGAAUCUGCAUCAGCAGGGUAGCUGAAGCAUGCACCUAAAAGCAGAUGAAAUGAGCCUCUCCUCACUGUUUAUGUUAAAAUCCAAAAGAAUAUUCCAGUCAAUGGCACUUAGAUUUUUCGCUCAUUGAGAAGAAAAGGGUUCACAGAGAAGUCACCUGGGAUGUCAGAGAACUGUUUUAAAAGAACGAAACUCCCUAAAUCUGGUCUUUAUCAACAUGUCAUGAGACAAAAAUAAACACUGAAAGAAAAACAUGGAAUGUUUAAACCAUUUUUCUUUCCCCAGAAGCAAGUGGCUUUUAGAAUAUUCAUUGCACAAAUUGCUUUAAUUACAAAUUGGAACAAGAAUAAGUUUUGGAAUUCUGAUUUCACAUGACAAAGCUCUGAUUGCAGAAACAGGAAAUUUCCUUCCUUCAAUAAUGUGUUGCUCUCUGCCCUUAUAUCAGACCAAUUCUAUUUUCUAGGAGCUCACUGAAAAAGUACGAUCCUUCAGCAGACCAGUGUGUUUAAACAAAACUAUUGCUCUCCCUCUUGUUUGUGACAAAAGUUAGUGAGUGGAGACUGGGAGUUCCUGAAUACAGCAGGAGCUCUGGAAUAACUAUUAACAUGAAUUCCUGAAAAAGAAGGAAUUUGAUGUGAAGGGCCAAAGCAUAAGGACAAAUUAGAUAGAAGAUAUCCUGAUUUUCCAGUCUGGGCUGGAAAUAACACAGAUGUAGAAGUGAAAAAGAAUAGGAAACAUUGUGUCUGUGAACUAUUCUCUCAGUGUGUGUUUUUGGGAGAGUGUCAGCUAAAGAAUUCAACUUCUGGUAAGAUAAGUAUGUGUUACCCAUGCCCAAAUUUGUGGGUAAUCAACUCACAAAUCCGCCGAUGAGUUAGUUAAAUGUUGCUUCCUUAGAAAAAACACUCAGGUUUGUGAAUACCUUUGAUGAUACACUUUUGGCAACUCAGGGACUUGCUGGAGCACAUUCCCCUUCUCUGUCACACAUUCCCCUCUGCACCUUCUGAUGAGCAAAUGUAAAUCCAAAAAUGAAACAAACUAUUCUGUAUUAAUUUCUUUGUGGUGUUUCCCUCUGCAAACAAAAAACUUGUAGUUCUUUGCACAUAUAUCAGGAGAAGUAGCAAUAAUGUCAAUUCACCAUCCCACUUAGAAUGGGAAUUCAGAAAUAUUUUACUUGUCAGGUUAAAAAUCCAAUCUUCUGUUUGCGUCUCUAACUUCAUUGGCUCUGAAAGCAGAACAGGAGCUACUUUUCCUCCUUCAGGCUGAGAUUUUGGUAACAAUUAAAGUGGGAACACAAAGUCAAAAUUUACACUUGUAGACAAUGACUGAAACAGAAAACUCAUAUUCUGCUGCUUUUGUGGGAGGGAAUACACUGUGGCAAAUUGAAUAAUCCCCAAUACUUUAACUUCUUAGGAGGGAAAAUGUAAGGCAGUCAGGUGCUUCUGAAGUGCUCACUCUGUUGUUUGGCUCAGUUUGUUGCCUCUCUAGAAAACCUGAAGUGUAUUCUUGGCAGCAGGCAUCAGUGCCCCGAGGGAUAGGAUAUACAAGCCUGCAGGAAUGUAGAUAAACAUCGAAGUUCUUACUCUGCAUAACAACAACAAAAAAUAAUCAGUGAAAGCCUUCAAAGUGCUGCCAAGGGGCCCUUCUUCAUAGUCACAAGUACCUUACUAAGAGGAGAGCUUAUACUUCUAAUUGAAAAUAUUUCAUAUUUAAUAGAUCCAAUCAUAAUUCUGACUUUUUUUCUGACAACAUAAAAAAAGAAAUAAUCAAUAUGGUUUUAUUUUUCUGGGGCCAAGCAGGGAGAAAUGUAUGUUCUUUCUAGUACUGGGCAAUAUUUUCCUUGUAGUAAUGUCUAAUGGUUUUGUCAGUUGUUACUUACAUAAUAAUUACUGUUACUUUUCAGAAAAAAAAUGCAGAAUAUUAUUUUGUAUAAUUUAGUAGCUUGCUGGGAAUAAUUAUACACUUCACAGAAGCAUCUACUGACUAGAAGCACAUAGAGUUCAGUUGGUAUAACUGAAGGUGAUGGUGUGUAAUUGUCAGGGGAAAUAGUUUUAUUAUAGAAUUUUCUAACAGUGGGUAUUUGGUCAACUCUGGCAAUUCCACAGAUGUACAGAAUGACUGCCCUUUGGGAGUGCUAUUUAUAAACUCAAAAGCGUCUGAACAGUACUCACAAAAAGGCUGCCAGUAUCAAGAAAAUUAAUGACAAUCUGACAUUGUUGGAGGAUGAAGAGAGAAGGGGCUUUGUGCUGAGAUUCAGGCAUGAAAUGUUUUUGCACUGCUUUUUCUUGGCCUCUCUGUGGAAGUCUGGAGUAUUGAUGGGAGCACCCUGCUCAUGGCAUUGUCAGCCUCAGCAAAUCAAUACAGGAAAAUGUAAACUUACAGGUAACCUCACAUCCCUUUCUCCUGAAGGCUCCCCAGAGAAAAAGAUAUCCUUGCCUCCUGGAGCCUUCAGGGUGUGUCUUUACUUUACUCCCAUUAAAAAAUAAUCCACAACAAAACCGCAAAACCCACCCCCCAAGACAAACCCAAAAUAGUUCCCUAAGUGUUAGUAGUUUGUGCAGAGCUUCUGCACCUAAUCCACCUUUUGGUGACAGACUGGUUUUACUUGGAAUUUAAAAAAUUCCAGUCAGACAUAGUUCAACUACAGGUUCACACUGCUGUAAAGACUAACAAUUCCCUGCUUUAACUUUUCCUGCCAGCUGUCGAAACUGAACUUACUGAGCACAACCAUUAGAUGAGCACCAGAACCAGCACAGGAGUGAGAGAGACAGAAAGAGAAGUUCAGUGUCAAAGACUGACACAUUCCAGUUGCUGUGUCAGUGCCUCAGCUGGUGUUGGCAACCACAGCACAGCUUCCAGCACAAAGGGCUGUACAGGUAUCAGUGACUGUCUUUGAAUAAAAAAGCACUUUCAGUUGAUACCAUCAUCCUGCCCGUGGCAUAGAAAUGCAGGUACAUAUAUAACGUGUGCAUUUACUGUGAUACAAGUAAUAUGUAUCAAAUGUUUUAAUAAAAC
ensembl:lncRNA